rnacentral:rRNA from 1 species
UCCGCUAAAAGGGGGUGUAACAACUCACCUGCCGAAGCAACUAGCCCUGAAAAUGGAUGGCGCUCUAGCGUCGUGCCUAUACCGGGCCGUCAACGGUAAAGUGGGUGGCGCCUGUCCGGUUCGCCGGGCCGGCGUUGCCGUUAAGCCUUGACGAGUAGGAGGAGCGCGGCGGUGUGCGCAGAAGGGUCUGGGCGUGAGCCUGCCUGGAGCCGCCGUCGGUGCAGAUCUUGGUGGUAGUAGCAAAUACUCUAGCGAGGGCCUUGAGGGCUGAUGUGGAGAAGGGUUUCUUGUGAACAGCCGUUGCACAAGAGUCAGUCGAACCUAAGCCCUAGGAGAAAUCCGAUGUUGAUGGGUAGCAAUCACCAGCUGGCUGUUUGCUCCUGUCGGGCGAAAGGGAAUUCGGUUCCUAUUCCGGAACCCGGCUGCGGAACCGCUUUCGGGCACUCGCCUGCGAGAGCCCGUCGGGGUGACCCAAGGUGACCCGGAGACGCCGGCGGGAGGUCCGGGAAGAGUUGUCUUUUCUGUAUAAGCGUUCGAGUUCCCUGGAAUCCUACAGAAGGGAGAUAGGGUUUGGAACGCGAAGAGCACCGCAGUUGCGGCGGUGUCUGGACCUUCCCCCCGGACCUUGAAAAUCCGGGUAAGGGCUACGCGGAACUCGCGCUGGAUCGUACCCAUAUCCGCAGCAGGUCUCCAAGGUUAAGAGCCUCUAGUCGAUAAAAUAAUGUAGGUAAGGGAAGUCGGCAAACUAGAUCCGUUAACUUC